rnacentral:rRNA from 1 species
UACGAAGGGGGCUAGCGUUGCUCGGAAUCACUGGGCGUAAAGGGUGCGUAGGCGGGUUUUUAAGUCAGGGGUGAAAUCCUGGAGCUCAACUCCAGAACUGCCUUUGAUACUGAAGAUCUUGAGUCCGGGAGAGGUGAGUGGAACUGCGAGUGUAGAGGUGAAAUUCGUAGAUAUUCGCAAGAACACCAGUGGCGAAGGCGGCUCACUGGGCUGACACUGACGCUCAUGCACGAAAGCGUGGGGAGCAAACAGG